rnacentral:lncRNA from 1 species
CCUGAGGGCGCCGACAGCGGGGCGCGGGUCCAGGCCUGGGCUCCGGGCGGGCGGCGGACGGCGGGCAGCGGCCGGGCCCGAGGUCGGGGCCGGGGCGAGCACGAGGCGGCGCGGCCCUCCUUUCCUCUCUCGCCCUUUAUUCUUUCUUUUGCUUUUUUGUUUGCUUCCUGCGAGGCGGCUGCAGCCGCGUGCGCGCAGCGCCCCAAGCGGGCGGCGCCGUUUCCGGUGCUCGGUCCGCUCGGCCGCGCCUCGGCCCGCAGCCCGCAGCCCUCAGAGCGCCCGCCCGCCCUCGGGUCCGCGCUCCGACCUCUCCAGCCCCAGCUGCGUGGCCCGCACGUGUCCUCCUGCGACAGCGCCCCGCCCGACAGCGCUCCGCCCGCCUGCCGCUUCCUGCUGCGCCCCUUCUGCCUCGCCCCGUUGCAGUCUGUGCCUUUGCCGUUGUUGGUCACAUCUGCCUGUUCCCCCCCCUCCCCACAGCCGGGUCGGCGGUGUCCCCAUCAGCACUCAGGGCGGCGCUCGAGCAACAGUGCCGCGGGCUUGGUCAGCAUGGAACUCGGGACCUUGCGCUUUCGAGGCAGGCGGCAGAACCAGUGAGCUAAAUCUCCGGCCCCCCUUGUCUAAUAUUUUUAGGCAACACGGCAGACAUAAGUCUACAGUCCCCCCCACCCCUCUGUUAAGUACGAGAUGAGGUCUGAGGAGACCCUUCUGGAAGGCACCAUCCUCAUCCCCGACUCCCCAAGCACGGCUACUGUUACUGUCUUGCUGUGUAGUUCAGGCUGGUCUUGAACUCCUGGCAAUCCGUGCCCAACUCCACCAUUUUUUU